GAAAUGCGAUAAUUAAUGUGAAUUGCAGAAUUCAGUGAAUCAUCGAGUCUUUGAACGCACAUUGUACCCCCUGGUAUUCCGGGGGGUAUGCCUGUCCGAGCGUCAUUGCUGCCCUCAAGCCCGGCUUGUGUGUUGGGUCCUCGUCCCCCCCCGGGGGACGGGCCCGAAAGGCAGCGGCGGCACCGCGUCCGGUCCUCGAGCGUAUGGGGCUUUGUCACACCGCUCUCGUAGGCCCGGCCGGCGCUGGCCGACGCUGAAAAGCAACCAUUAUUUCUCCAGGUUGACCUCGGAUCAGGUAGGGAUACCCGCUGAACUUAAGC
rnacentral:misc_RNA from 1 species